UCCAAUAUAAAAUAAAAAUUUCUUAAAUUCAAAAAUAAAAAAAGAUUACAAGGUUCACAGAGGAAGAUGCUUAUAAUGAAUUGUGAAGAAGAGGUAGAAAUUUUCCCACUAGAUAACAGCAAAGAGAGAUGUUUCAGAAAGAUGGAAGAGUGUGUACUAAUGUAAAGAGGCAAGUAAGAGUAACUAUUACUUGUUCCCAGUAACUGGGAACUGGAAGCAGUGUGAUGGGACAAUCCCUAAGACAAGACCUCAUGAGACAGGGUUGGAAGGGCUAGAUCCUAAAUGGUAUUGAAUAUCUUGAUAAAGGGUUUGGAUUUCAUUCACUUGGCAGUGGGUAGUAAUUGGGUGCUAAAUGGGGAACUACAAUCAGAUCUGUGGUAAGAAGACUAUGAUCGAUUCCAUGUGGAUGGAUAUAUGGUAAGACUAGAGGUAAGGAGCUACUAGAGAUAGAUGAAAUAGUUGGCUGACUACUGAAGAUUCAUGACGCUAGAAGGCAUUUGCUCCAUGAAGGUCAACAUUUCCUAGAUCUCUCCAGGUGGAACUGUGGCUAAAGGAAUGUGAGUAAAAGUGUGUAGCGCAUUCUGAGCUAAGGUAGUUAAGGGAACCUACCUCGUACUGUCUUCCCUUCUACAGCACCCCUGAACACCUCAUGAAGAUGGCUAUGCCAUAAGAUGGAAGGAACCUGGAUCCCUGAGUCAGAGAAGAGAGAGCUACCAAGAGAGCCACCCAACCAAGAACACAUACACUGAACUUUGCCUGCAUGCUAAGUCACUUCAAUCAUGUCCAACUCCUUGCAACCCUAUGGACCGUAGCCCACCAGGCUCCUCUGUCCAUGGGAUUCUCCAGGCUGGACCAUCAGAGAAGACUGGACCAUGCUCAGGCCCCAGGCUUUCCUUGUGGGCUGCUCUGAUGACGGAGGAAAACUGAGGGUAUUGAGUGCAGUAUUGAGAAAAGCCCACAAAAUGAUAAUUGCAUGUGCAUCUGCUUCUUCCUUCACUAAGCAACUUCACAGCCAUUAUGCCAGUUGAGGCUCAUGGGAUCUUAUCUCCCUGACUGGAGAUCCAACCGCCACCCUCUGUGUUGGAAGGAGAAGUCUUAACCACUGGACCACCA